GCGGCGCGCGGCGGCCGGGCGGCGCUGGGCGCGCUGCUGUUCCUCGCCUCCGACGGCCUGCUCGCCUACGGCAUGUUCGGCGGCCCCAUGCGCCACAACCAGCUGUGGGUGAUGUCCACGUACUACAUGGCGCAGAUGGCGCUGGCGCUCAGCGUGCUGGACCCCACGCCCGAGGACUAGGCGCGCCGGACCGCGGCCGCGUGCAGACGCCGCUGCACUUAGAGGACCAUCAGAAAUGAGGAGAAGCGAGCUGGUAAAACAACAAGACGACUGGAGUUCCUAGGUGUCUGCCGACUUUCAAGAUCGGUGUAAGAUUAUUGUUCAUAUGGUAUGGUUGUAAUUCUUCCAUGAUUUAAUCGUUGGUGUUUAUGGUGUUAUACAGGUAGUUAGAUUUUAGUGUAAUGAGUUUGUGUCGUACAUAGUUAAGUAAUUUGUUUGGACAGUAUCGGUAAGAAUGCGGCAAGUGGGAAAGUAUGUAUGCACAAAAGUUGUGGAAGCGGUCUGUGAUAUGCGUCAGUCACUGUCUUCUCAUUAUUUUAAAUACUAAUAAUGUUAUUUUAAAAACAAUAAACUUUGAGGAGUCAUUGAUUUUGGAGUGUUAAGUUCAACAAGAAGAUGCGUGCAAUGGCUCUCGUGUUUGGUAUCGAAUAACCAAUUGGCUCACAAAACAGAGUUGUUAGCGAGUGCCAAAGAAUAUUAAGUCGAGCGUCUGACGCAAAUGUUUGUCUUUCUUCUUGAAAACGUGUAUGUUAUCCGUUUAUGUUGGUAAAUAAUCCAAAAGACUAACUAAGGUCCAUAAGAGGGCUUGUGAUCCAGAAUGAAUCUUUGUAUUUGUGAUAUCAUUAGGUAUAUCCGCCUUUGCUAUUUAGGAAUCCUAUCGACAAUAUCACGUUAACUAAAUACUGUAGGUAAUAUCAUGACAUUUCACAUUACGAAAUGUAUAUUUUACGAAUUUUGUACAUUCCUAUUGUAUUUAAUUUAUCUGACUUACGUGUGCUGACCUUUUGACACGUGGAAGAUGAGCGAGCUUCCGUAACUUACGGAGAACGAAUUCUACAUCUAUUUGUAUAAAACAAACCACUUCAAACGACUAUGUGACGUCAUUGGAAAGUCAAUCCGGCUCAUCAAACAAAUGGUCUCAAGGUAAUGAUAUACAGGGUGGUGACCCGUUGAUGGGCGAUCAUACAAAAGGAUUAAUUCUUUACUCAUGUGCAUGACCAAAAAAUGACGUUCCCAUACUUAAUUGGCUGAUCACUGAUGACAAUUUAUAUCAAAGGGAAUCUUUUUAGAAGAUUUGAACUUCCUUUUUGGAGAUAGACAACUAUCGUAGUUAGUUGUUGCAUUUGAGAAGUAGAAUCUAUCCUUUGUUUGAUCACCCACUAAUGGGUUAUCCUGUAGAAGUCACAACGCACUAAGUGGCUUCAUGUCAAGUGGUCAAAGGUAUAUGCACAUUUAUGUGUAAACUACAUAUUUAUUUUAACUUUGGACUGUUAUUGUAUGAGACGUGGCUGGCCACUGCAAGGCGCUGGCCAGUCACGCGUAACUCGGAGGCGCCUCCGCGCAGCUGCCAACCACAGCCAACCAAGUGUUCGAGACACCAAGACUUAAGUAUUUUUGUAUCAUCAUUUAUGUCAUGUUUCGUCUUUUUGCACAUGUUUUUUUUGGUCUGGAUUAUGAUUCAGCUGUUUAUCUCGUUAGUGUUCCGAAAGAACUGGUACUGUGUCUUCUGAUUUAAGCCCCUACUCCGCUUUGGAUACAUCCCACGCCAUCUGUUUCUAUCCUCACUUCAGUAUACUGAUGUUCAUAGAAAGGCGUAAAACGUUGUACGCGGAGUAUGAUCCUCCUGUUUAGUGACAUGAUCCCUUUUUAUGUGAUUUCACACUAGUAUCUAUCACAGUGACUGGUUAUCGGUUUUCUAAACGACCAUGUUUGUCCAAGAUUGGUAAAUUAGAUUGUCCGAGUACGAGCACAGAGUACCUGACCUUGUUGCGUCUGUGCAGAAAAGAUAUCGGUAUAUUUAGUAUGUACUAUUACAUGUUUAGUAUUAAUAUUGAUUGUUUAUAUGGCUCAUCACAACUAAUAGUGAAUAUCUUUAUAAUGUAGCUCAAGUUCAUUUAUUCGUAAUCGUAAAUAGUAAAGUUGAUGAAGGAGUGCAUAUAAUAUAAAAUUUGAAGAAUCUCCAACAAUGAGCCGGCGUCAUUGUAAUAGUAUAAUAAUAAGGACUUCUAAACAUAUCUGUACACGGUAAAGUUAGCUCAAAAGUAAGAUCUUUACACGCGACAAUACUUUCUCAACUGGGCAGAUGAGGUGAUUACAAAUUAUUGACCCGAAAAAAAAAUCACUUCAUAAUAAGCUCCACUAUACGAGUACAUUGCCCCUGCAUGUGGCGUCUGCGUGUAAGGCUCUAUCAAGUUUUCAAUGCAAGUCGAAACUCUUCUGUAACGCUUACUAUCCUAUAAAAACUUCGUAUUAGUGAUUGUACCUUUUAGAAAGUCUAUUUCAUGUUAUUUUGUGUAAAGUAAGUAAUAUUUUGUUAAAUGUUAUACAUCUAUUGUAUUCCUAGUUAUUAUACCUCAACAUAAAUAAAUAUAUGAUAAUAUUGA